UCCCUACGGGGCGCAGCAGUGGGGAAUAUUGGGCAAUGGGCGAAAGCCUGACCCAGCAACGCCGCGUGAAGGAAGAAGGCUUUCGGGUUGUAAACUUCUUUUGACAGGGAAGAGCAGAAGACGGUACCUGUCGAAUAAGCCCCGGCUAACUACGUGCCAGCAGCCGCGGUAAUACGUAGGGGGCAAGCGUUAUCCGGAUUUACUGGGUGUAAAGGGAGCGCAGGCGGCACGGCAAGCCUGAUGUGAAAGCCCGCGGCCCAACCGCGGGACUGCAUUGGGAACUACCGGGCUGGAGUGCCGGAGAG
rnacentral:rRNA from 1 species